rnacentral:tRNA from 1 species
GGGUUGUUAGCUCAGUUGGUAGAGCAGCGGACUUUUAAUCCGUUGGUCGCAGGUCCGAAUCCUGUACAACCCA